rnacentral:lncRNA from 1 species
CUCAAAAUGUCCAGUUUAUCAAAAAACCUUGAGCUGUGUACUGGGGACCAUCUACUAUAGCCUGAUCAUGGAAUUUUUCAAGAACCUAAGGGGUUCCCUAAGUCCAAGGAAGACAAUCAGUGUCUACAAGUCAGAAGGAGAAGGGGAAAGGACAUUCUAAUCAUUGCUUUGUUUUCAUUGAUUCUGUUGCUGCUUUCUUACCAUUGAAAG